UUGGUCGAAGAGGAGCCGUAGGUGAAAACAGCCUUCGUUCUGCUGGCACACAUUACCUGCAGAAGCUUCUGGGGUAUAAGGGGAACAAUGGUUGCAGGGCGGAAUUCUGACACAGAAGCACACUUUACAGGUAGCAAUCACUGUUGUUAAUCAAAUUCUUAGCCGUUAGUGCUUGGCAGCACUGGUGGCUGGUCUGGUUUUCUCACCAGACCAGUCCUGUGGCAGAGGUAUCUGCAACACCCUUGGAAGCUGAAACUUCAUCUCCAGCCCUUCUAGGGGUUCUUAGGAGCCAGCUGACAGUUUGUAUGAAGUAACUUUUCUGCUGAAAUUAGCCUUAGAUUUAUUUGCAUGGAUUGCCUCACUACUGGAGGACAUUUGGUGAAGUCAUGGAGCUGGCUCAUCAUAUGCCUACAUUGGCCUUUCCAUUUUUGGCUUUGUUGGGCUACAGUGUGCCUGCAUUUCAUCUCACCUGAUUGCCUACCUUGUCUUCAUGCUAUCCUCAACAAAUUUCUCUGCAUUCAAGUAAAGCUACAUCAGAAUUGGAGUUUGUUUCUUCUUAUGAAAGUAUCCAGAUUUGCUUUUUCUGGACACUUCAUAUAUAUGGGAUUGUGCAAUACAUACUAAAACCCACCAAACUAUACAUUUAAAACAGGUGAAUUUUAUGGCAUAUAAACUGGAUCUCGAUAAAGCUACUAAACAAAUCUAUCCAGAUAAGAACGGGGAAAUCUCAGGAAGCAACCGGAGUUAGGGUGCACUUUGGAAAUUUAAAGUAAUAAAUAUGGAAUGUAUGCAUUAAGUAGUAUAAUCUGGGUUUCGAAAUAAGUGCUAAAAGCACAAAAGACACUAGGGUCCCAGGCAAUAGGUAGUUCAAUUCUAGCAGAAACUGUACUUUUCUUUCUGGCUGCUUAAUUAUUUAAUCAAUUUAACCAAGCUCGCCAAUUCUUUUCUUGAAGACAAAUCAUCAAGGAAGUGAAAGAAUACAGGUAACCCAGUGGCAGCACAUCAGCUGGAUGUUGGGAGCCCCAGAGAGAUAUCUCAUUCUAUCUACCAUGUAAGAACACAGCAAGAAGUCAGUGGUCUGCAACCCAGAAGAGGGCCUUCACCAGAACAGAGGGACCCCUCCACAACAAUGCCAGCAAACCGAUC